rnacentral:rRNA from 1 species
CCGUUCCCAUGCCGAACACGGAAGUUAAGCUCUUUUGCGCCGAUGAUAAUGAAGGGGAAACCCUUUGUGAAAGUAGGACGCUGCCAGGC